CCACCACCCCCUUUUUUGGCAGUUUCGAUUUUAGGGUUUCACAAAAUCGAAACUUUUGUCCGCCUCCAUUUAGCAGGAUCCAUCGACGAAAUUUUUUAUUCUCCCGCUUCUCUCUAUCUCCCUCCUUGAUUCGUUUUCCCUCUUCUCUCUCAUUGUUUCCUACUCGCACCUCUCCCUUACACCCCCUCUCGUCUUCGUUUUCAUUGUCGGAGUUCCAUCUUACCGCCGAUGCGGUCAAUGUUGUACAUAGAGACUCUUUUAGCCCCGGUCAUCUCUCUUCGCCAUCACCAAAUCCGUAUAUCUUCAUCACCGAUUCAUCGUCCCCCUUUUUAGCUCCGGUCGUUUGCGUUUCGUCGCCGUCAUCGGCUUGCCAUCGCCAUUGUCAUCAUUGUUUCAAUUCGAUGCCUUCUUCAAACUAUUGAUGCCUUUUCAAACUCCUCUGUUCCAUUUGUUAUCAAGGCGACCAAGGUUAUUACUCCAUGGCUCAAUUGCCCUCAUCUCUCUCUUUGCACCUUUGCUCGAUUUCUUCCCUAAAAAGGUUCGGAAAGCUGGUGAUCCAGGUAAUCACAGUUUUGCAAUCUUCCCUACGGGUAAGGAGGUCAAUAUGACUUUUGAGUUUAUUGAGAAUCAAAUCAAUCAAUUUUGAGUAAAUAUUCAACUUUUUUUUAUGAGUUUCAGUGAUUAUCCUACUGUGGCUUCUACAUGAGAAUGAAGUUUUUGAUCUUGUGUAUGACAGGUCCGUCAACAGUAAUUUUUAGAAUUAAACUAGGUUUAGCAGUUGGAAAUCAACUUGGUUUGGUAAGAGAUGAUUCUAUAUUAUAUAUUUAAUUACUUAUCUUUUGUUUUUAAUGUAUAUUUGCUUACUUGACCUAGUUGCAUAAAUGUUUGAGUUUGUAGAUCUGUGUAUUUAAAUUUCAGUUCAAAAGAUACAAUCCUACACAUUGUCACAACAAUAAAACAAGAAAGUACGUUUUGUGUUAGGUAUAUGUUUCUUUAUUUUAGUAAUGUUUAAAUUGUUUUCGGUUUACAAACAAGCUGAAAAUGGUGAGCCCAAGUGUUGUGUGUGUUUCCACUUUCUUGAUUCCCCUGUUGAAGCAAUUCAAUAUAUGGACCAUGGAGCUACUAGCUAUUUUGGAACAAUUGAAUUUGUAAACAUGUAGUGUUUGUUUUUUUAAUUAAUUAAUAUUUACUUUUGUAAGAUAUUUUGAACAAUGGAAUGAAAUGUGUCAAAGUUGGUAUUA